rnacentral:rRNA from 1 species
GACGAACGCUGGCGGCGUGCCUAAUACAUGCAAGUAGAACGCUGAAGAGAGGAGCUUGCUCUUCUUGGAUGAGUGGCGAACGGGUGAGUAACGCGUAGGUAACCUGCCUUGUAGCGGGGGAUAACUAUUGGAAACGAGAGCUAAUACCGCAUAACAAUGGAUGACACAUGUCACUUAAGUGAAAGGGGCAAUUGCUCCACUACAAGAUGGACCUGCGUUGUAUUAGCUAGUAGGUGAGGUAAUGGCUCACCUAGGCGAACAUACCUAGCCGACCUGGGAGGGUUGUCGGCCACCCUGGGACUGGGACACGGCCCAGACUCCUACGGGGGGCAGCCGUAGGGAAUCUUCGGCCAUAGGGGCAACCCUUACCGGGCAACGCCGCGUGAGUGAAGAAGGUUUUCGGAUCGUUAAGCUCUGUUGUAAGUCAAGAACGGGUGUUAGAGUGGAAAGUUCACACUGUGACGGUAGCUUACCAGAAAGGGACGGCUAACUACGUG